GGCUUAACACAUGCAAGUCGAGGGGUAUAUGUCUUCGGAUAUAGAGACCGGCGCACGGGUGCGUAACGCGUAUGCAAUCUACCUUUUACAGAGGGAUAGCCCAGAGAAAUUUGGAUUAAUACCUCAUAGUAUAGCUCUACCGCAUGGUAGUACUAUUAAAGUCACAACGGUAAAAGAUGAGCAUGCGUCCCAUUAGCUAGUUGGUAAGGUAACGGCUUACCAAGGCAACGAUGGGUAGGGGUCCUGAGAGGGAGAUCCCCCACACUGGUACUGAGACACGGACCAGACUCCUACGGGAGGCAGCAGUGAGGAAUAUUGGACAAUGGGCGCAAGCCUGAUCCAGCCAUGCCGCGUGCAGGAUGACGGUCCUAUGGAUUGUAAACUGCUUUUGUACGAGAAGAAACACUGCUUCGUGAAGCAGCUUGACGGUAUCGUAAGAAUAAGGAUCGGCUAACUCCGUGCCAGCAGCCGCGGUAAUACGGAGGAUCCAAGCGUUAUCCGGAAUCAUUGGGUUUAAAGGGUCCGUAGGCGGUUUAGUAAGUCAGUGGUGAAAGCCCAUCGCUCAACGGUGGAACGGCCAUUGAUACUGCUGAACUUGAAUUAUUAGGAAGUAACUAGAAUAUGUAGUGUAGCGGUGAAUGCUUAGAGAUUACAUGGAAUACCAAUUGCGAAGGC
rnacentral:rRNA from 1 species